CUUAACGCGAAGAACCUUACCAAGGCUUGACAUGAACCGGUAAGACCUGGAAACAGGUCCCCCACUUGUGGCCGGUUUACAGGUGGUGCAUGGUUGUCGUCAGCUCGUGUCGUGAGAUGUUGGGUUAAGUCCCGCAACGAGCGCAACCCUCGUUCCAUGUUGCCAGCGCGUUAUGGCGGGGACUCAUGGGAGACUGCCGGGGUCGACUCGGAGGAAGGUGGGGACGACGUCAAAUCAUCAUGCCCCUUAUGUCUUGGGCUUCACGCAUGCUACAAUGGCCGGUACAAAGGGUUGCGAUACUGUGAGGUGGAGCUAAUCCCAAAAAGCCGGUCUCAGUUCGGAUUGGGGUCUGCAACUCGACCCCAUGAAGUCGGAGUCGCUAGUAAUCGCAGAUCAGCAACGCUGCGGUGAAUACGUUCCCGGGCCUUGUACACACCGAAG
rnacentral:rRNA from 1 species